rnacentral:lncRNA from 1 species
GACCUGGUUCCAAUCAAGCCUCUCCCCAAUGUGGUGACUCUCCAGGAGGACAUCACAACAGAACGUUGUAGGCAGGCCCUGAGGAAGGAGCUGAAGACCUGGAAGGUUGAUGUUGUGCUCAAUGAUGGGGCCCCCAACGUUGGGGCUAGCUGGGUCCAUGAUGCUUACUCACAAGCCCAUUUGACACUGAUGGCUCUACGUUUGGCUUGUGACUUUUUGGCCCGUGGUGGCAGCUUCAUCACAAAGGUUUUCCGUUCUCGUGACUAUCAGCCUCUGCUAUGGAUCUUUCAGCAGCUGUUCCGCCGUGUCCAGGCCACCAAGCCCCAAGCCUCUCGCCAUGAAUCUGCAGAGAUCUUUGUAGUCUGCCAAGGUGGGCAUCAUUUCCUUUCUCUUGAUCCAGGCUCCCAACUCCCAAAGCACACUUUUUAAUAUAUCCUGUCAUUUUUAGGAUUCC